UUGUCCCGUUCCUAUAACACAACCACCCUGAGGUCAGAAAGGGAAUGGAAAUUUUUUUAAAACGCAAACAAUCUCAGGCAAAGGAAGUAAAAAUAAAGGGUGGCUAAGUUGACUCUCCCACUGUAGGACUGCGGUCCUCAGGACCUGCGGCAAACAGCCGUGACCACGACCUCUGCCCUGGCCGUGCCUCCCCACUCCCACCCCAGCCAAAGGGCCAGCGGUACCUCGAGCUUGGCCAGCUCCUCGCCGUCGUGGAGGAUGCGGAAGGAGUAGAGGUGGUCAGGGCUCGGGUCUGGCACCACCUCACAGCCCACCAGGCUGAGGGGCUGCUGGGCUGCCUUGCUGCGGUUCCGGUCCUGGUAGAAGUACAGGUGACUGUCCCUGACGGAGCACCAGCGCGACUUCCACUGGCUGUUCACCAGUACGUUCAGGCACUGGCUUACAAAGCGGAUGCCUUCUCCAUCCUAAGGGACCGGCAGCUGCUCUGAACCUUAGCCGGGAAGAACUAGGCCCAUGCAACAGGGUCAAAGUACACGGCCACCUUCGCUGGACACUGGACACUCAGUGGGGAUCAUGAAUUUCUCAGGGCCACGAGACCAUCACAUCACAGUAGCAAAGUGCAAGAAUGUGAGCCCAGGAUCUAGGAACUCUGGCUCAUUCAGGCAGGCGCCCCACUCGCCCAUCAUAAUUCUCUGGACCAAAGAGAGGCGGGGAGCUCAGACACCGAGUCCUGGGAAGGAGAGUAUCUAUGUUCUCUCUGGCCCUUCCCCAGCCACAGGGGACAGGAGCAUGCUUCCCUGCUGAGUAACUGCCAGCAAGAACCCAGCCACAUCUCCCAAAGUGACUCACUGGGACCAGGCUCCCAGGCCCAACACCGUGCCCUCUGAGGCCACAGGGGCUGGCAGAGCUGGGCCAUUACCCGGCACCCUGGCCAGAGAAGCAGGAGGCUCCAAAGGUAGGGCCCUGUCUGCUGCUGCCUUCCUGUUCCACCAGCCCACCCUGCCAGCUGCAAAACACAGAGCUGAACUGGGACUCAGGAAAAGAGCCCAGGGCUGGUACAUGGGUUCCAUGAGGAGGAGGAAAAGGCCCAAAGAUGGACAGUAGUGGCCUUCAGGCCCCGGAGGGGUGGAGACUGCACCCACUGUGUUCUGUGGCAUGUCCUCGGGAACAGAGGGCAGGACAGCCAUGCCACGCUCUGCAUCCUCUAGCUGUCUGUUCGGAUGCUACAGGCAGGGGUCUGCAGAGGGACAGCACAUGGCGUGCGCAUGCAGGACCCAUGCACGAGGACGGGAAGAGGGCGGCAGCCACCCUCAGGGCAUGCACCCCGCCUCAGAGAGGGCCAGGCAGCAGACAUGGGAUCGCCGGCAUUCCCGCUCUGGGACAAGCAGUACCCAAGGUGAUCGUGGCGUAAACGACUCCUUCAGGCACCUGCACCCAUCUGGGGACUCCACUGGGGGGAAAUCUGCCAGAAUGAUCUGUGUGGUAUCCAGAAGAACAGACAAAGGCAAGAGGAAGAGAGAUAAGAUGAAGAGAGCGGCAGACCCAAAUGCAGAGACACAAAGAGAUAUGGCGACGCGGCUGCCCUCCCACCAGAAGUUAGUGCGUUCCCAUCGGAGAUGUGGGCUUGUCAGGUG